rfam:Solanum lycopersicum cultivar Heinz 1706 chromosome 1, whole genome shotgun sequence.
CUGACAUGUGUGCGAGUCAACGGGCGAGUAAACCGGUAAGGCGUAAGGAAGCUGAUUGGUGGGAUCCCCCGGAGGGGAGCACCGCCGACCGACCUUGAUCUUCUUGGAAGGGUUCGAGUGUGAGCAUACCUGUCGGGACCCGAAAGAUGGUGAACUAUGCCUAAGCGGGGCGAAGCCAGAGGAAACUCUGGUGGAGUCCCGUAGCGAUACUGAUGUGCAAAUCGUUCGUCUGACUUGGGUAUAGGGGCGAAAGACUAAUCGAACCAUCUAGUAGUUGG